GGAAGUCUUCCAGCUGACACUACAUUGCCUCGCCGUAAUUCUGCAUUAGAAAUGUCAUUAGCUCCUCCACCCAUGCCCAGGCGGCAUUCUCAAACAUUGGUCAAUGGUCCUUCAUCUUCUGUGGUUCACUCAACGACACUUAAUAGUUCUACUGUGAUAGAGACUUCUGCUUUAACCUCAAGCAAUGCUGGAUCAUCAUCAUCAUCCAUGUCUCAUUCUCUACAAAUAGGUGGAAAUACACCACAGUUACCUCCAAAGACAUAUAGACAGACAUUAUUAAUGAAUAAUCACACAGCUGCUAGAUAGUUAAUCUUUUAUUUACUGCUAUGUAUAGACAACAAACUAUUAAAAUUGAAUAUAAUUGGUACUUUGUAUUAGUACUACAAAUUAUAAUGUAAAUAAUGUGAAAUGAAAGAUGAGAACCGACCAAAGGGCAGCAUGAAAGUUCAAAUAUAGUACGGCUAAUUAUAGUCAAUUCGCGGAGCUGCUUUCCAAGUUUGUCUCAUUCCCUUAAUGAAUUAUGGAAAGCAUUUGUACAGUAACUGAUUUAUUGAUAAAUUAGGGCAAUAAACAAUAAUGGCAAAUUUCCCAAACUUGUAUUUAUUUCUUAUUUUUACUAUGAUUUGUAUAAACUGGGAAAAAUGGCCCUUGUAUGAGAAAAUGGGAAAAAUAAAUAAUA
rnacentral:lncRNA from 1 species